AGUGAACGCUGGCGGUAGGCCUAACACAUGCAAGUCGAACGGCAGCACAGUAAGAGCUUGCUCUUACGGGUGGCGAGUGGCGGACGGGUGAGGAAUACAUCGGAAUCUACUUUUUCGUGGGGGAUAACGUAGGGAAACUUACGCUAAUACCGCAUACGACCUACGGGUGAAAGCAGGGGAUCUUCGGACCUUGCGCGAUUGAAUGAGCCGAUGUCGGAUUAGCUAGUUGGCGGGGUAAAGGCCCACCAAGGCGACGAUCCGUAGCUGGUCUGAGAGGAUGAUCAGCCACACUGGAACUGGGACACGGUCCAGACUCCUACGGGAGGCAGCAGUGGGGAAUAUUGGACAAUGGGCGCAAGCCUGAUCCAGCCAUACCGGGUGGGUGAAGAAGGCCUUCGGGUUGUAAAGCCCUUUUGUUGGGAAAGAAAAGCAGCAGGUUAAUACCCCGCUGUUCUGACGGUACCCAAAGAAUAAGCACCGGCUAACUUCGUG
rnacentral:rRNA from 1 species